GGGCAAUUACCCAAGUCUGGCUGAAGGGAGUAGUCUUGAAAACUACCAGGGGAUGAAAGUCCCGCGGGGGUUCGAAUCCCUCAUUGCCCGCCA
rnacentral:tRNA from 1 species